AUGAUGGAGAAGGCAAGAAGUUCAUGCCAUGCACUACAGUUCAGGUUCUACUCCCUCCGUUCCUCAAUAUUUCCGUUCCUAAAUAUUUGUCUUUUAGAGAUUUCAAACGGACUACCACGUACGGAAGUAUAUAGACAUAUUUUAGAGUGUAGAUUCACCGGAGGGAGUAGUAUCAAGCGUUUUCAAGGUCUCAAUGAAAGAACCACAACAAAAAAACGAGCACCUUGUGUAGGGCGUCGGAAGGGUAUGUUGCCGUCAAUGUUGAUGCUAAUUGCCAAAUAUGAUGUAAACUCGGGAUCAGGAGAUGUAAACUUGGGAUCAGGAGCUAUGGGGGUGGUGAUCAGAGAUGACAAGGGGCGGUUUUUGGCGGCAAAGGUCAUCCCUGUCGCUCUUGAUGCUGCUUCAGCGGAAGCCCAGCCGGUCCUUGAUGGCAUACAUCCAGCUAAUCGUGUCCCUCAACUUCAAGCCUGUUGCAACCUACUGAUGCGUGCUAGACAUCAAUCUGUAAGCUAA
rnacentral:rRNA from 1 species